GCGUUCAUAGCUCAGUUGGUUAGAGCACCACCUUGACAUGGUGGUGGUCGUUGGUUCGAGUCCAAUUGAACGCACCA
rnacentral:tRNA from 1 species